AAUUGUCAAAAAAACCUCCAGAAAGUGUCAUAUCUUAGUAAAUGUUGGGGAUAGCCAGAAAGACGCAGAGCCUUGAUGUAUGCCAGUGCCUUUCCUUCUCUCCUUCCCUUUCUUUAAGUCUCCAGUGAUCUGUAAUCGACUGGGUAAAGAGGACUGGGGAGAAUAUUUUCAUAAGGGAGGAAAGCGCGAGCCGCGGACCAGCUGUCAAUCAGUGUGCAGAAGCGCCGGUCUGAAGAACAGCCUGAACUUGCAGCAUGGCCAAACUGAUUACUGGUGAGGCACGACUCAGGCACGAGCACUGCAAUAUAUCACCCACUGCACUGCUUACCCAUAAUGCUCUACUGUGUUCUGCUCUGCACGAUUGACACUGUUGGAAUAAAGAGAUCCUUAAACAGAA